rnacentral:rRNA from 1 species
AACGAACGCUGGCGGCAUGCCUUACACAUGCAAGUCGAACGGCAGCACGGGAGCAAUCCUGGUGGCGAGUGGCGAACGGGUGAGUAAUAUAUCGGAACGUGCCCAGUCGUGGGGAUAACGUAGCGAAAGCUACGCUAAUACCGCAUACGAUCUAUGGAUGAAAGCGGGGGAUCGCAAGACCUCGCGCGAUUGGAGCGGCCGAUAUCAGAUUAGGUAGUUGGUGAGGUAAAGGCUCACCAAGCCGACGAUCUGUAGCUGGUCUGAGAGGACGACCAGCCACACUGGGACUGAGACACGGCCCAGACUCUACGGGAGGCAGCAGUGGGGAAUUUUGGACAAUGGGCGCAAGCCUGAUCCAGCAAUGCCGCGUGCAGGAUGAA